UACAGAGGGGGCAAGCGUUGUUCGGAAUUACUGGGCGUAAAGGGCGCGUAGGCGGCCUUCUAAGUCGAGCGUGAAAUCCCCGGGCUCAACCCGGGAACUGCGUCCGAUACUGGAAGGCUUGAAUCCGGGAGAGGGAUGCGGAAUUCCAGGUGUAGCGGUGAAAUGCGUAGAUAUCUGGAGGAACACCGGUGGCGAAGGCGGCAUCCUGGACCGGCAUUGACGCUGAGGCGCGAAAGCCAGGGGAGCAAACGGG
rnacentral:rRNA from 1 species